GCCGGCGUGGCCCAAUUGGCAGAGGCACCAGGUUUAGGACCUGGGUGUUGUGGGUUCGAGUCCCACCGCCGGCA
rnacentral:tRNA from 1 species